CUCAAUUAGUUAAAGCACGACACGUAUUCCCAAAGGCAUGCUAGUAUUUUGCCAGUCCAUGCAGACGCAUUCAAAACACUUUACUGUCACUUACAGUUAACUCAACAUAACACCAGAGGAUAUUCCAUUUUGGGUAUUAGCAACCAGCUGUUCGAGACAAUAAACGACUUGGAUCGCAUGGUCUUCGCAGAUGAGUCUCUAGAAGCAAAUGCAAUGUGUACAAAGAAUAAAAUGAAGAAAAAAAGAUGAAUAUGGGAAGCUUAUCUGUGGUUACCACAGAGUCUUUAAGUCCUAAUCACACAGUUGAGUUUAGAAAUAUGCGGGAUACUGAUACAAUCAUUGUGAGAAACUGCAAAACAAGUGGCCUAGGUAUAAAGAUUGUAGGUGGUAAAAGUACAGUUGGAGGUGGAGAUUAUGGAAUUUUUGUGAAGAAAAUUUUAGCUGGAGGUAGAGCAGAAGCAGAAGGUCACUUAAGGGAAGGAGAUCAACUAUUAGAAGUUAAUGGAGAGUCUAUGUUAGGAAUUUCUAAUGACAAGGCAAUAUCCUUACUCAGAAAUGCUGCAGAGACCAAUAAUGUUAAGUUGUUAAUCAGCAGAGAUGGUGAAGCAAGGGAAGACUUUACAGCGUUAAUGGCAGCUUUGAAUGGCAAUGGCUUUGGUAUGCUUAAUGGUCCAGGAGCUUUUGAUCUUAUUAGAAGUGGUAGUAGGGGGAGUUCAAGGGCUUCAACACCUUCACCAACAAUGGGAAAAAGAUCUUGGGUCAUGAGUGCAGGAAGAAUGUCACCAUUGGCAUUAGGAAGACAUGGAAGCCCAAACUGGUCUCCAUCAAACUCUCUUGACAGACCACCACCGAGCUUACAAAGAAUGCAAGCUGUAGACUUAUCAUCUACUGCAGAACUACGAAAUCCUGCUCCAGUAGAUCCACCACCAUACCAAAGAAGUAGGGACAUGUUUCAACUAAAUCUUGGGACAGUGCCUAGCACUAGCUCUUGGAAUGGUGCUUCUAAUAUUCCGUUUUCACAUCAAAUGAAUGGAGACAAUUCCCAUGCAAAUAAAUUCUCCCCAAAACAUGCAGGAACAGAAUUGCAGAGUGACUCGGAGGUGACUAUUGACUCUGGUCUACCAACUGAUCGACACUCAAGUACUCCUUCACCUAACUUUGAUAGUCCUGGUGAGCUACAAGUAAUAAGAAUCCCUAUAACUACAGGACUAGGGUUGUGCAUUGUUGGUGGUACAAAUAGAUCUGAAGGACCUCAUAUUUAUGUUGACAACUUGAUUGAUGGUGGAGAUGCUCAAAAGGAUAACAGAUUGCAGCAAGGAGACCAACUUGUAACAGUCAAUGGGGAGACAUAUGUAGGAGUUACUCAUGAACAGGCAAAAUCUUUGCUAACUCGUUUAAAACUCAGGAAAGACAUAACUGAAAUAGAGAUUGCUUUUAUCCGAGGAGGACACAGCACGCUUGGCCAAUACAGUCCACCAAAUCAUUUAGUGAAUGGAAGUAGCCCUGGAUCAAGUCAUUAUGCUGAGGGUAACAACCAACUAGAAUCACCACCUUUGUCAAGCCGUUCAUCACCAGAUAAUGGUGCAGAUUUAAGUAAUACAGAUUCUGAGUUGAAUGAAAUGUUGCAGACAUCAGGAAGUUCUGGUGAAAUGCACCCAUCUGGAGUUCCAAGAUCAUCUCCCUUUNUCGCUAAUGGAAUGCCUGUUUACUCUAGUAACCAAACACCCAUAACUACCCAACUGUCUAUGCCUCCUCAGUCCCUGAGUCAUGUUCAGAGUGGACUUCACCAACAGCACUUUGCGCAUAGUACCGCAAGCCUUCCCCCUCACGUUAACAAUGGCUUUUAUCCAACAUUGUCUUCAACUCCUACUUCACAUAUGAAUGGAUUACCGAAUGGGCAUCCACUUUCAAUGGCUUACUCUACUCAAGGCCAAAUAAAUGGAUUUGUUCCAGGCAUGCAUCCAACAUCAUCUCAUGGCCAGCAUCAAUUAGGUAAUGGAUCAAUCCAAAUAAGUCCCAUAGCACCCACGCUACAGCCAUCCUCAGUGCCAUUUUACUUACAACAAGAUUUAGAAGCACUCAGACGUGUGUCUGAGCAAUAUCCACCUCCAGCCGUCAGUCAACAAACUUCUCCAUGCAAUGGUAUUCAACGAAGUUCACCAGAAUCAGCAGCACAGUCGCUUUCCCAACGACAAAGAAGAAACAGAAUUGACAGAAGUACUAGGAAACUAUCACUCGAUCCAUAUACGAAACUAAAAGUGGAAAAACUAGAAGUAGCGUUAAGAUAUUUAGGAUUUGAACCGACAGAAGAACAGCAGAGAAUUCUGCGAUCCAGGCUACCAAUCGACCAUAAUGGUUGUACGACGUAUGGAGAUUUCGUAAAUACUGCAAGACAAGUUUUCGCUGUCAAGUUAAAUGAAUCCCAUUUAAAUACUUCCGCUUUUCAGUUUGCCAUCCAGGACAUCAAUGCCAUGGAAAGAAAGAUUCAGUUAGAGUCUCAACAGUCUCAAGAGUCUCAACAGUCNUCCUCAGAAGCAGAAGCAGCAGCAAAGAAGGCAUCAGAAGAUGUCGAGAGACUUCGUCGAGAAAGAGAUGAGGCGCUUAGAGAGGUGCAACAUCUCAGAAAAGCGUUGAAAAGAAAGGAACAAGAGUGCCAGGAAUCUUCAGAAGAAGUUAUGAAAACUCGACGGGAAACCCAAGCGUUACUUGAUGAAAGUCAUUCACUGCAGAAUAGGAUUCAUUUGGCUUCACAGGCGCAAGAAGCAUCAAAAAGUGUGGAGCAAGAUUACGAAGAGAUUAUUAAGCUUCUUGAACAUGAAGUCGAUGACUUAAAACUGAAAAACUCCCAGAAAACGCCUGAUCCUAAAGAAUUGGAAGAACUUCAAAAACGACUUGUAGUUCUGGGCUGUCAACUUCGGAAGGCUGAAGUUAGUAAACGAACAUACGAAGUGUCUAUGGAAAAAUUAAUUCGCUUUGCAGAGCUCGUUCACGAUGUCCUUUCGCAAAACAGCCCUGGGAUGCAUCAGCAAAGGGGAAGAGGGGAGCCUGCAAGAAAGGAUGCAUCAGGCAGUGCUCGCCCACCAUCAUAUCUUGCUCGGCAUGCCAAGCAUAACCCAAAUACCCUUGCAAAAGAAGCAAGAGAUGUUGUUAAGUCAGUAAAAGCACUCAUUGAAGAAGAACCACUUCCAUUUGGUUGGGAAGAAGCAUAUACUCCUGAUGGUGUCAGAUAUUAUAUCAAUCAUGUGACUCAACAAACAUCCUGGCUCCAUCCUGUAACACAUGUCCAACAUCUUCCACCAAUAAUGGAGAAUAAAGAUGAAGGUGUUAAAGAAACCAGAACAUAGCAAGGAACAGGACUUUUUGACUAGAUGCAUAUUUUAUUCUAUUUACAUUUUAAAACCUGAAGACAAAAGCUUUUUUACUGUACAGUCAACAAGGCUAACAUAAUAUUACAUAAGAACUGAUGUUCAGCUUCUCCAAGGAUUUUUAACAUGGCAAAAUUACAUCUGGUUUGACAUAACUUUGGCCACUCAGAUUUUGAAGUUUAUUUGCAAUUUAGUUGGUAGGAACUCAUGACUAGAAUUCAAAUAUUUACUGGAAUUGCAUCUUUAAAUCAAAUACUUUUCAAAAUUUGUAUUCCAGACAAGGUACAGAAUUCAAUUCUCAAAAUUCGUUCCAAAAUGUGAACUUGCAAACUAACUUCACAAAUGGAGUGGCUGAAAUUUCAUGAAAUCAACUGUAAUUGGUAGAGAAAAUCAAGAACUUCUAAGCUUAAAAGGGUUUCAAAUUUCCAAAGUCCAGAGUGGAUAUACCUUGUUUGAAAGUAAUCAUUAAUGGUUCAAUCAUUGUAAGGGNUUCAAAUUUUUCACCAGCUUAUUUCAUGCUAGAUCAAACCUCUAUUCAUUAUGUAAUGAAACCUAUAACAUAGUUUAAGUAUAAUGCAUGCUGUGAUCGNUUAAUUUAUUAGCAUGUGUCAGUGUAUAUACAAAACUCUAUUUACUGCAUGCUAACAUACUUUAGAAACCUCCCUAAUGUGCUAAAGAUUUUAUUGAGAAAUUGAAAGUAUAAUUUUUUAAAUUAACAGGAUUUUUUUUUCAGUUUUCUCAUUUCAUAUUGCAGGGUCAUAGCCACCAGUAUGGUUGGUCUUGUUUUAACUGGACCACUUAAUUUUUACCAUUAGAACCAUGACUGGUCAACUUUUUUUUAAACUGAGUGACUGUCAAAAUGGUGGCUAUGGCUCUGUAUUGUUUAUAUGUAAAUAUUUUUUCAAUAAAUGAGAAAUUUAUGUCAGAUUCUACCCUUAACAUGGAUUAAUUUUCUCUGCAACUUUGCAAAAGUGUUUACACAGUGCAUCGGAGGUGCAGUUUUUGCCAAAAGUAAAAACAAAUUUUACUUUUUGCAUCAAUUGCUGCAGCUCGGCAUUUUUUUUUCAAAUUGGGCUGUAGGCUACAUGCUGCAAUGCUCAAUGCAACUUAUAUCGCAACGCUAUUGGAAGACAAGUUGCAAAACCCAAGUUGCAGAGAAAAUUGCUCCUUGUAGCAAGCCUUUAUACUUUUCAAAAUUACCUCUUGGACAGGAUGCAAACAGGAUAUAAAAAAGAAAUCCCUUUUCCUCAGUGGAAUUUCUUUUUUUAGUUUCCCUUAAGAUAACAGUCUAUAUUUAACAAAGUAACGAACUCCAAUUAACAGUGAUUGUAUCUACUUGGCCAAUCAAGUUUUAUUAAAUUUUCCCCAAGUAAAAUUUAUAUGUCAUAAGAAUUUUCAAAUAAAAAUAUACUUUCCUGUGAAAUGAAAAUUUUUACCACAUUGGUAAAAAUCCUAUUUACAUUUCUUUUUUCAAUGUUUUGAUAUUUUUUUAUUGAUUGGUUGAUUUGUUAUUAUUGCUGUGAAAACUUAGUGCCAAUAGUAUGGCCGGACCAAAUGUUGGAUUAAAUUGCAAAAUAAAGAUAUACAUUUUACACUU
rnacentral:misc_RNA from 1 species